rnacentral:lncRNA from 1 species
CCCUCAUUUCCUGCUUAUAUGAAGACUCAAGGCCAAGCUACAUUUGACAGCAUUUCUCCCCUAUCAUUUUAAACUGAAAAUCCCAAGACUGAUAAAAUUUCAAAACUAAGCUGAAAUAAGAAGAAGGAAAAUAGUGUUUCCGGUGUUUAUCAUUCCACUGGCCCAACAACAACAGCCAAUCAUAUUCAACUGAAAUAAUUUCAAAUUACUUAUUUAAUACUAGAUGUAUGCCAACUAGGAUAUUAGAUAUAAAAAUACCAAGUAAUAUAAUUUAUGUCUUUAAGUUCAAUAGCUACCAGGGAACAUAGACAUGUUAACAAUUAAUUAUAAAACAAUCCUAGAGUGUCUUUUUUAAUUGUGUUUACAAAGUUUUAUCAAAGCCUAGGGGAAUCAGUCACUUGGUUUUACACAAGUUAUUUGGUCAAGUGAACUUUUUUUUUUUUUUUUCACAGAUUGAAGCAUCUGACUAUUUCUAACACUGUGAUCCACAGUAUUAAGACAAUUAAAAUGCCAUAUUUAGGGAAUAUAUAAAUGUAUUAUUUUUCUUUAUGCAAAUUUCAAGUUGUUUAUUAUAUUCAGAAUGAGAAACAUUACAAAUAUAGAAAAUGCUGCAAAGUCAGCUUGGUUUUUGUACUUUCAUAUGAACUAGUCUCUGAGUACCCAGAUUAAUUAGCUAAUCACUGCAUUGUCAAGUCUCUAUAAUGCUCUCUGCUGUAUCCUAUCACUGACUUUUUCUGGGUUAAGAUUUAUUUUGGGAAUUGAGAGCCAAGGCUGGAACACACUGAACAGAGUGUUCUAUUUCUGUGUGAAAUGAUAGAUGUUGCUCUUGCCCAGAAUGAAAAUGCUUUGCACUGCUCCCAAUCUGUAAAUUGUUCCAUUUGCUUGGCAUAAUAAGUAUACUGAUGUAUUUAAUUCUGUCUACCAGGCCCAUGCUGUUCAAUUCCCCUCUGCUAGCCAAAUAUACCAGAAGUCAUAAAUUUCUCUCCAAUAAGGAAACUAAAUGUGAUCUCUUCUAUAAGUAAAAGCAGUGUUAGUGUCCUGUUAUUAUUUUUUGGAGUUACCGUAUGUUUUAAAUCCAAGAUUAGCAAAAGAUUUGUUAUAAUCUUUUCACUUUUAUCAACUACUUAGUCCAGCAAACAUACCGACAAAAUAAUUGUAUAUGCUCAAAGGUACAGUCUGUGGAAAUGAUUCGAUGUUUGUAUAACUACCACUUUCUUUCAAAAUGAACCUUCAUUU